rnacentral:piRNA from 1 species
UCUGUCCUCAUGGUGUUAGGAGUGGUUGA